rnacentral:rRNA from 1 species
AACGAACGCUGGCGGCAGGCCUAACACAUGCAAGUCGAACGCCCCGCAAGGGGAGUGGCAGACGGGUGAGUAACACGUGGGAACGUACCCUUUGGUUCGGAACAACUCCGGGAAACUGGAGCUAAUACCGGAUAAGCCCCUCGGGGGAAAGAUUUAUCGCCGAAGGAUCGGCCCGCGUCGGAUUAGCUAGUUGGUGGGGUAAAAGCCUACCAAGGCGACGAUCCGUAGCUGGUCUGAGAGGAUGACCAGCCACACUGGGACUGAGACACGGCCCAGACUCCUACGGGAGGCAGCAGUGGGGAAUAUUGGACAAUGGGCGCAAGCCUGAUCCAGCCAUGCCGCGUGAGUGAUGAAGGCCUUAGGGUUGUAAAGCUCUUUCGCCAGGGACGAUAAUGACGGUACCUGGAUAAGAAGCCCCGGCUAACUUCGUGCCAGCCGCCGCCGUAAUAC